CAGUAGCCACGGGAAUACGAAGGGUGCAAGCGUUAAUCGGAAUUACUGGGCGUAAAGCGUGCGUAGGCGGUUUGUUAAGUCUGUUGUGAAAUCCCCGGGCUCAACCUGGGAAUGGCAAUGGAUACUGGCAAGCUAGAGUGUGUCAGAGGAUGGUGGAAUUCCCGGUGCAGCGGUGAAAUGCGUAGAGAUCGGGAGGAACAUCAGUGGCGAAGGCGGCCAUCUGGGACAACACUGACGCUGAGGCACGAAAGCGUGGGGAGCAAACAGGAUUAGAUACCCGCGUAGUCCCUGUCUCUUAUAC
rnacentral:rRNA from 1 species